rfam:Pan troglodytes isolate Yerkes chimp pedigree #C0471 (Clint) chromosome 9, whole genome shotgun sequence.
GCAAAGGCAGGUGUCUGCCUAUAGUCCAAACUACUGGGGAGGCUGAGGUAGGAGGAUUGUUUGAGUCCAGGAGUUCUGAGCUGUAGUGUGCUAUGCUGAUCUGGUGUCUGCACUAAGUUUGGCAUCAAUAAUGUGACCUUCUGGGAGCAGAAAACCACCAGGUUGCCCAAAGGGUGGUACACUGGACCAGGUGGGGAAUGGAAGAGGUCGAACCUCCUGUGCUGAUAAGUAGUGGGAUCACGCCUCCUGUGAAUAGCAGGACACUUCAGCAUAGGCAACAUAGCAAGCCCUUGUCUCUG